rnacentral:tRNA from 1 species
GCCGAGGUAGUGUAAUGGUAUCACAACACGUUGUGGCCGUGUUAAUCUGAGUUCGAUUCUCAGCCUCGGCA